CCCCUCUCUCUGGCCCCUCUCUCUGUGGCCCCUCUCUCCCUCUCCGUGACCCCUCUCUCUGUGGCCCCUCUCUCUGGCCCCUCUCUCUGUGGCCCCUCUCUGUUGGGGUGAACUCCUCAGGGCCAGCCCACCUGACACCCCAGGCAAGGGGAGGAAAGUCAUUGGUACCCAACAUGUACUUAGACACUGAAGCGUAGAGUGGAACAAAUACACAGAAAAGAUCUUAGAAGCUUUCAGAGACGCUCCACACUGUCACAAUAGGACAUUUACAUGUCAGUCAUUUAGCAGGCACUCUUAUCCAGAGACACUUACAGGAGCAAUUAGAGUUAAGUGCCUUGCUCAAGAGCACAUUGAAAGAUGUUUCACUUUAGUCGGCUCCGGGAUUCGAAUCUGUGACUUUUUGGUUAAUGGCCCAAUGCUCUGAACCGCUAGGCUACCUGCCUCCCUCACAUGGUAUUCACGGUAUGACAUGGUAUUACAAUGGGACCACAUAGCUAUUACAUGGUAUCUCAUGGUAUCCCAGUAGAACCUCAUGAUACCUCAUGGUAUCACAAUAGGACCUCAUGGUAUCACAAUAGGACCUCAUGAUAUCACAAUAGGACCUCAUGGUAAUAGGACCUCAUGGUAUCAGAAUACGACCUCAUGGUAUCACAAUAGGACCUCAUGGUAAUAGGACCUCAUGGUAUCACAAUAGGACCUCAUUGUAUCACAUGUAUUAUUCCUCUGUAUUUUCACUAUUAUUACAUUACUCAAAUGUUUGUAAUAUACCAUGUGAUAUAUUCUAUAUAUUAUAAGACAAUCUGUAUCUGAUUAACUUGUAUGUAAACGUUUUGUUUUUGUUUUGUAUUGUGAGCUUCAAGCUUUGUGUGUUUUCUGUACCACAGUCAGGGCUGUUUUCCUGUUGUGAUGGGAGGGUUGUUGGGUGUAGACGUCUUUCACACGUGAUUUUAAGCACUUUCCAAAGAGUAACUUACAUUAUCUCUUACAUUAUCUCUUACAUUAUCUAUGACAGUAAUAAUUUACAGUAAUAAUUUGGACCUUUAUUUUUUGUUGUUCAGUUGAACUUUGAUACAAACACAACUACUAUACUAUGAUCAGGUGUGGAGCCUGACUUCCUGCUCUAUACUAUGAUCAGGUGUGGAGCCUGACUUCCUGCUCUAUACUAUGAUCAGGUAUGGGGCCUGACUUCCUGCUCUAUACUAUGAUCAGGUGUGGAGCCUGACUUCCUGCUCUAUACUAUGAUCAGGUGUGGAGCCUGACUUCCUGCUCUAUACUAUGAUCAGGUGUGGAGCCUGACUUCCUGCUCUAUACUAUGAUCAGGUGUGGGGCCUGACUUCCUGCUCUAUACUAUGAUCAGGUGUGGGGCCUGACUUCCUGCUCUAUACUAUGAUCAGGUAUGGGGCCUGACUUCCUGCUCUAUACUAUGAUCAGGUAUGGGGCCUGACUUCCUGCUCUAUACUAUGAUCAGGUGUGGGGCCUGACUUCCUGCUCUAUACUAUGAUCAGGUAUGGGGCCUGACUUCCUGCACUUCCUGAGGAUGAUGUCAUACUUUCACUUUCAGCUGCUUGUCUCCCCUCUGGCAGGACCAGUCCAAAUAUAACAUGAAGGAUCCAUUGGCCUAGUGUGAGACCAUGAAAACCGUGAGGUAUCAUGGGUAAAUUGUGACUGACUGAUGUACAAAUAAUAUUAAGUAGUUAUUUAUGAUGCAAGGUGGUUUGUAGAUCAGUCAAGUCUCGUCUUUAAAUUCGGCGGCCAUGUCUAACGGUCCCAUUUUGUUUUUCUGGGCGGGAACAUACAUAGACCAUGUUACAUACAUGAUAUAUACACAUAGACCAUGUAUGAUUUAGUUGUAUUACCAUAGUGAUGAGACUUUUCUCCUGUAACUUUCACAGGAGUGUUUAUUUAUGAAUCCUUUUGUAUCAAAGAAAUACAUUGGAACAACCAAAACAACUGAGCCGCCCCAAAUAUAAAAGGAACAUUGUUAAUAUGAUUUGUUGAUAUGUUUUCAUUAAUUACUAAAGCAAUACUCUUUUAUAAGGUCAUUGUUAUUAUAUUGACAUCACAAAUGCAGAAUGUGUGGAUUAAGACGUGUUUUCUAAUUCUUUCAUCAACACACAUACGCAUUACUUUUUGUAAAUAAAUGUAUGGAGCUGUUCUGUUUCUCUGUAUAGUUGUACAGAGUAAAUGUGAUACAGCCUGGGAUUGAACCCGGGUCUGUAGUGACGUCUCUAGCACUGAGAGGCAGUACCAUAGAACGCUAUGUCACCCAGGAGGCUAUAGUGGACUACUCCUGACCGUGAUCCAUAGUCCACUGUUAGGAUAGAAGAUAGAAGAGCUGUGUCACAUGUCAAGGUGUCUGUAUUCUUCUGACUGGGUUUUGAAACUGUCACAAUAUCACCCCCCCAAAAAAAUGGAACUUUUGUAUAUUGUGAAUGAACUGGCUUUAGGGAGAAGGGUUCCGACAUCAUUCCACAACAGAAUGGUUCUAAUUUAGAAUGAUUCCUUUACAUUCCUUCCUAAAGAGCACGUAAAACAAACACAGCACUUGAUGACAGUUUACAGUUGACUAGCUUUAGGCUUUAGGUUGAGGAUGAUUCAACAAAUGUCUUGUUUUACCAGACUGUUAAAAGUAAGUAGAAAACCCCUGCCUGUUUACUGCCAAGGAAAAGUACUGUGAUAUUAUAUAUGAACGUCAUUUCACUCAUCAUUACAACCAGACGUAUAGCUCUCUAUUCAUCCUGGAUGGCUGAAACGUUACAGACUGUGCGGUAGAAAUGUAAAGGUAAUUUCAGAUGGAGACGACAUCUGCAGUGUUUACGGUAAAUGCAGUCUCCGCUAUAACGCGGGAACAUUGCCCUUAAAUUUAAAUCAAGCCGUACCGUUGUACUUCAGUGAUACGGAUUGCAUAGAGCGCUUCAAUAAUGACUUUGUCUGAUAAAUAUUUGAAUACUAAUCAUAAAAUACCCACUAGUUUCUAAAUGAUACGGUGGUGUUUCACAGCUUUACAGUUGGAAUUAAAGUUGAGACCCAGCAGGCAUAAUUUGGCGUGGGUACGUCAGAAAAGGAGAUCAGUUUAAAAUAUUUUCUAUCAAUUUUUCUAUCUACUAUUUACCCUUUUGGAAGAAAUAUGAAUUGAUUUUGUUUUAAAUCUCUCCUUGUUAUGCUUGAUGUCACAGUAUGAGUGAAAGCUUUGUGUAUAAAAGGUGUACUUUGGUAUGUGGCCAUUACAUAACUCUGUACCAGGGGUCUCCAACCCUGUAGGUUUACACUCCAACCCUGUUCCUGGAGAGAUAUUGUCCUGUAGGUUUUAACUCCACCUCCAGGACAGUAUCUCUCCAGGAACAGGGUUGGAGGGCCCUGUAUGUAACUACUAUACACAUUGACCAUGAUAUCACCAUAUCAUCACUAUAGAUAUCAAUAUGUUGUUGUUUACACCGUUGAAGCACUGUUAUGUCUUUUGAAUAUAUAAUAUGUAUCAUUUUUACCACAGUUUAAUACUAAUUUGUAAGAUUUUGUUUUCAUGGAAUCUGCCUGACUGGAUCUACAGAUUGUUUUAAAUUCUGAAUAAACCACCAGAAUAAUAA